AUGAACGCUAGCUACAGGCUUAACACAUGCAAGUCGAGGGGCAUCAGGAAGAAAGCUUGCUUUCUUUGCUGGCGACCGGCGCACGGGUGAGUAACACGUAUCCAACCUGCCCUUUACUCGGGGAUAGCCUUUCGAAAGAAAGAUUAAUACCCGAUAGUAUAAUGAUUCCGCAUGGUUUGAUUAUUAAAGGAUUCCGGUAAAGGAUGGGGAUGCGUUCCAUUAGGUUGUUGGUGAGGUAACGGCUCACCAAGCCUUCGAUGGAUAGGGGUUCUGAGAGGAAGGUCCCCCACAUUGGAACUGAGACACGGUCCAAACUCCUACGGGAGGCAGCAGUGAGGAAUAUUGGUCAAUGGGCGAUGGCCUGAACCAGCCAAGUAGCGUGAAGGAUGACUGCCCUAUGGGUUGUAAACUUCUUUUAUAUUAGAAUAAAGUGCAGUAUGUAUACUGUUUUGUAUGUAUAAUAUGAAUAAGGAUCGGCUAACUCCGUGCCAGCAGCCGCGGUAAUACGGAGGAUCCGAGCGUUAUCCGGAUUUAUUGGGUUUAAAGGGAGCGUAGGUGGACUGGUAAGUCAGUUGUGAAAGUUUGCGGCUCAACCGUAAAAUUGCAGUUGAUACUGUCAGUCUUGAGUACAGUAGAGGUGGGCGGAAUUCGUGGUGUAGCGGUGAAAUGCUUAGAUAUCACGAAGAACUCCGAUUGCGAAGGCAGCUCACUGGACUGCAACUGACACUGAUGCUCGAAAGUGUGGGUAUCAAACAGGAUUAGAUACCCUGGUAGUCCACACAGUAAACGAUGAAUACUCGCUGUUUGUGAUAUACAGUAAGCGGCCAAGCGAAAGCAUUAAGUAUUCCACCUGGGGAGUACGCCGGCAACGGUGAAACUCAAAGGAAUUGACGGGGGCCCGCACAAGCGGAGGAACAUGUGGUUUAAUUCGAUGAUACGCGAGGAACCUUACCCGGGCUUAAAUUGCAGUGGAAUGAUGUGGAAACAUGUCAGUGAGCAAUCACCGCUGUGAAGGUGCUGCAUGGUUGUCGUCAGCUCGUGCCGUGAGGUGUCGGCUUAAGUGCCAUAACGAGCGCAACCCUUAUCUUUAGUUACUAACAGGUCAUGCUGAGGACUCUGGAGAGACUGCCGUCGUAAGAUGUGAGGAAGGUGGGGAUGACGUCAAAUCAGCACGGCCCUUACGUCCGGGGCUACACACGUGUUACAAUGGGGGGUACAGAAGGCAGCUACCUGGUGACAGGAUGCUAAUCCCAAAAGCCUCUCUCAGUUCGGAUCGAAGUCUGCAACCCGACUUCGUGAAGCUGGAUUCGCUAGUAAUCGCGCAUCAGCCACGGCGCGGUGAAUACGUUCCCGGGCCUUGUACACACCGCCCGUCAAGCCAUGGGAGCCGGGGGUACCUGAAGUACGUAACCGCAAGGAGCGUCCUAGGGUAAAACUGGUGACUGGGGCU
rnacentral:rRNA from 1 species